UUCCUUCCCAGCCAGUGAGGAAAGCAGGGAGUGAGCUGACAUGAGGACAUGUGAUUUCCUCAGACCUCACUGCCAAAAGCAACUGAACCAGUAAGCUGAGAGAGGACGCAUACUGUCAGAGAGACCCCAGGCUCCCAAGGGAGUGAACCAGGACCCAUGGAAGCCACGUCCUGACUGCCAAACAGGCAGCAUUGGCCACAUUUGGGUCCCUGGAGCCUCUGUCCUGUCUUUUGUGCCUCCCACCUAGCCACUCGCUAGCUGCAGAAACAGCCUGUGAAGAUGAGUUUCAGAGGAAAGUACCACGCAAAGAGAGGUGAGACCCACUCCCAGAAAAUCAGCUUGCUGUAAGGACUGGGCACCACAUUUCCAUUAUUCAUGAGUCCAGGGCCUGCUGUCUUGCAUGGAGGAUCUGAGCAGCAGGUCCCCAGCAGGCCGCAUGCUCUACUUGAGAAAGAAUAAA
rnacentral:lncRNA from 1 species